GCAGCAGUGCUCUGAUGACGCGUCUGUGAUGCGACAGCACGCACAGCUGACCAGAAGGAUGGAAUGGCUUGAUCAAUCCUCGCUGUCCUUCAGCUUCUGGCAGAGAUCAUUUAGUUCAUCUCUGCUGCAGCAAGGAGUCUCCAAAUAUAAUUACCGCAGUCACUGCUCUGAGGAACAAGACGUCUAAGGAUGCUUUCGAGAUUUAAAAGCUUCUGUUCAAUGUUGUCCAAACGAACAAAUAUGGCCCGCUCCACCCUCUUCAGUUCAGAAUUUUCUGAAAUUUGUUUAAUUGUCAAAUUAAAACUGAUAUAAAAGACACAAAACAAAAUGUAUGGCAGUAAAGCUGUAACAAAUAAAUAUGUAACUGUUUAUACAGUAAUUUAAUGUCUGAUUAAAUUAAAAGUUAAUUAAAAGCUAAAUGUUUUCAACGCUUAGUUUAAGACAAA